rnacentral:rRNA from 1 species
GGGGAAUCUUGCGCAAUGGCCGAAAGGCUGACGCAGCGACGCCGCGUGUGGGAUGACGCCUUUCGGGGUGUAAACCACUGUUGCCCGGGACGAACAGCCCUUUUCGAGGGGUCUGACGGUACCGGGGGAGGAAGCACCGGCUAACUCCGUGCCAGCAGCCGCGGGAAUACGGAGGGUGCGAGCGUUGUCCGGAAUCAUUGGGCGUAAAGGGCGCGUAGGUGGCCUGGUCAGCGUGCGGUGAAAGCCUGGGGCUCAACCCCGGGUCGGCCGUGCGAACUGCUGGGCUGGAGCACUGUAGAGGCAGGCGGAAUUCCGGGUGUAGCGGUGGAAUGCGUAGAGAUCCGGAAGAACACCGGUGGCGAAGGCGGCCUGCUGGGCAGUAAGGGGAAACCCGGCUGACACUGAGGCGCGACAGCGUGGGGAGCAAAC